UUAUACGACCGUACCGCAAACCGACACUGGUGCGCGAGAUGAGUAUUCUAAGGCGCUUGAGAGAACUCAGGAGAAGGAACUCGGCAAAUUGACACCGUAACUUCGGAAGAAGGUGUGCCCUAUUAGUGUGUAGUGAACAACGAAGCAUGAAUGGGUUGCAAAAAAUCGGUGGCUGCGACUGUUUAUUAAAAACACAGCACUCUGCAAACACGAAAGUGGACGUAUAGGGUGUGACGCCUGCCCGGUGCUGGAAGAUUAAAUGAUGGGGUGCAAGCUCUUGAUUGAAGUCCCAGUAAACGGCGGCCGUAACAAUAACGGUCCUAAGGUAGCGAAAUUCCUUGUCGGGUAAGUUCCGACCUGCACGAAUGGCGUAACGAUGGCCACACUGUCUCCUCCUGAGACUCAGCGAAGUUGAAAUGUUUGUGAUGAUGCAAUCUCCCCGCGGAAAGACGGAAAGACCCCAUGAACCUUUACUGUAGCUUUGUAUUGGACUUUGAACAGAUCUGUGUAGGAUAGGUGGGAGGCUUUGAAGCAGGGUCGCUAGAUCUUGUGGAGCCAACGUUGAAAUACCACCCUGGUGUGUUUGAGGUUCUAACCUAGGUCCAUUAUCUGGAUCGGGGACAGUGCAUGGUAGGCAGUUUGACUGGGUCGGUCUCCUCCCAAAGCGUAACGGAGGAGUUCGAAGGUACGCUAGUUACGGUCGGACAUCGUGACGAUAGUGCAAUGGCAUAAGCGUGCUUAACUGCGAGACUGACAAGUCGAGCAGAUGCGAAAGCAGGACAUAGUGAUCCGGUGGUUCUGUAUGGAAGGGCCAUCGCUCAACGGAUAAAAGGUACUCUGGGGAUAACAGGCUGAUACCGCCCAAGAGUUCAUAUCGACGGCGGUGUUUGGCACCUCGAUGUCGGCUCAUCUCAUCCUGGGGCUGUAGCCGGUCCCAAGGGUAUGGCUGUUCGCCAUUUAAAGAGGUACGUGAGCUGGGUUUAAAACGUCGUGAGACAGUUUGGUCCCUAUCUUCCGUGGGCGCUGCAGAUUUGAGGAAGCCUGCUCCUAGUACGAGAGGACCGGAGUGGACACACCUCUGGUGUAUCGGUUGUCACGCCAGUGGCAUUGCCGAGUAGCUAAGUGUGGAAGAGAUAACCGCUGAAAGCAUCUAAGCGGGAAACUCGUUUCAAGAUGAGAUCUGCCGGGGCCUUGAGCCCCCUAAAGAGUCGUUCAAGACCAGGACGUUGAUAGGUCAGGUGUGGAAGCGUAA
rnacentral:rRNA from 1 species